CUCGUGUAUUGGGCCUUAGCGAGCUGGCAGCCCAUCGAAGGAGUGAGGCCUACGAACUACCAGGUCCAUCCGCUCCCGAAGCCCACCCGAUCCAGUCCCCACGAGACCGCAUCCAGUCGCCCUCCCGAUCCCGAUCGAAGCUCGCCCAAUCCUGAUCCCGAUCGAGGUCCACCCGCCCAAUCCAGCGACCGGAGGAGAGGAGCAGCCGGUGCGGUCGAUCCUGGUUCCAUCAAAUUGAAGACGGGUUGAGGGAUGGAUCGAGUCCAUCCGGUCGAUCCCUGCGACCGGAGGUGGGGCCGGCGCUGGCACGGUUUGGGGCCGGCGCGACGGUGGGCGCCCGCAAACUCUUGGCCUGCUUGAAACUGCUCUGCCCUCCUUCAAGCUUGCGAUCAUGGCCCUCCUCUGCUGGAAACUGCUCCUCUCUCCUUGAAGCUAGCAAUCAUAGCAUAUUAUUCAUUCGUUCAUGGCUGGUAAAUUUGCAAACCUUUCUUGUGCGCAGUGGUACUAUAUAAUGGUUCCCUCCCUGGCUUUGUAUGCACAACACGCUCUAGCAUCUACAUCUUCUUCGGCGAUAUGCUCAGGUGAUGUUCAUAUGCUAUGCGUCAAUUGAUUUGGCCAGAUUCUGCAGCUUUCCUACUGUCCAUUCUUGUGAUCAGCCGUUCAUCAUCUCUCAAAUGGCUUUUGGACAGGUGAAUUAGAAAAGUAGUAUUACAAUGGGCGAAAAACGUAACCAUUCUGUCGUAGAGGGAGACGAAGCCUCGACAUCUUCUGCCUGUACUAAUAAACGAGCAAAGUCCAUGUUUGUCUGCUUAAUCCAUAGCUCCAUGAAGGGCUAUGGGAUUGCGCAGAAUGUGAUAUUGGCGAGUUACCUACAUAUGCAGUGUGUCGAAACCCAGGUUCUCCCCCUUCUUCAUCCGGCAGUGACGCAGUAACAUCCAGGAGCUGUGCUUCUCCAGUAGUUUGUCCCUUCAUCUUCAACUUUGCUGCAUGUUUCCCUUCGCCACUACAGUCCCUUCGUACCCAAUAUUUGUGCUCUAAUAGGGCUCCUGCUAAUGCUGAUUUCUGCUCUUAAUUUGCUACAGUUAUUGACGCCCAAGUGCUCGGGACUGGUUCUGGCUUGUUUACCAAAUUUCUCUCGGUGUUUCUCUGUUUAUUUUUGUUCCUAAAUUCUGAAAACUGGGAUCCCAAUGGCUGCUGGCAGAAUAUCAAUCUGAUCGCAUCCUGGUGGCCUAACAGAAUGCUAUCAUGUGAUUUGGAGUUUGGACAGCAUUCUCACCAAACUUCAAGAGGUAACACUUCUUCAGGGUCUUGAAACCAAAGUUGUCAUUAUCCUCAUCAUAAACCAUGCAGUUGUCCAAACGAGCAGCUUCUUGAAUCAAACGCCAAUCAAUUAGAAGCAAUCUUUGACGUUGCAUUUUGGAAACUCUUAAUAAUAUCGGAGCAAAGAAAUCAUUACUGAAAAAUGACCAUAGGCAAAUAUAUGUAGUAACUGGAGAGAUGAUGUGGUAGAGCAGAAUUUGACUAGGUGUCAAGUUCAUUGGCUCUGGCCAUUUGAUCAGAUAUACUAAUAGAACCAUCUUAUAAUGCAUGUUAGCUAGAGGAGCACAUCCCUGCAUGGAGCAAAUUCACUCUAUAAAACUAAACUGAGAAGCUGCACUUGAACAGUAUCCUGAAGCUUAGAACUUUUGUGGUGUUGUUGCAAAGUAAUAAAUAAACUAAUGCUUUUUUAAUAUCAAGAACUAAACAUGUAUAGUUUUCAGAUGUUAGCAGUAUCCAUAGAGCUACAAGCCUAGAACACGGUGAAGUCUGCUUUCUUCCUCCUGGUCAUGCAAGCGUCCUGCUUCCCCGACCUCGACCUCAAAUGGUGGCGCCUCUCUGCGACCUCCACCACACACAACAGCGGCCACUGUGACUUGUCAACUUUGCACGAUAGGUUGAACUGGUGUCCCUGGCAUGCUGUCGUAGUGUCGUCCAAGUCUGUGUCAUGCUGGCCAUGCCUUUUUCCGCAGUACGUUGCCGCAAAAAGAAUCAGAUACAUAAAGUAUAUUACAUGAUGUUAACUGUGAGAUAAAUUUCUUGAUCUAAAUAAAGGCAGUUUGCUCAAUACGUUUGCUUUAAGAUUUGUAGAAUAAUUAUGUUGAAAGGCAUGAAUGUCUUUAUAUAGCUUUUUCAUCUAUAGGGCAAGAUGUUAUAGUUUCUAGAUAUUUACCUUACCUGCAGAAAUAAGCAUAUCUGAUUUUAAGAUUCAGCUUUCAGUGUACCCUAAAUUUGAAGAAUUUAUACAUUAGCAGUUCACAUUUGUGUUCUUGGAUUCACUUCGCUGCUAUAUGACUUCUUUUUUGUUUUCUCGACUAACCCCACUGUAAUCUGCAUUAUUUUUCUUAGGAAGGCGUGGACGAUGUCAUGGAAAGAGCACCCCAUAUCAAAGAGCUAAUAGAUAUGAAUAGCUGGCCUGAUGGUCGUUGCUGCAAACAACAACAAGAGGAGCUGCAAAGGGUUUCACCACACUUCCAGGAAACAUAUCCAAUUCAGCAUAGCAGUUUAUUGAUAAAUCUCUCUCUCUCUCUCCCUCUCUGUCUCUCCCUCCCUCCGUCUCUCUCCCUCCCUCCCUCACUAGCAUGUCGACUUUCUGUAUUUUAGACCUAUUUGCUUUGAAAAUAUGUACCAUGGGUUGCGAUCUACAUCAAGCGGCGUAUUUGAAAUACUCACAGUUUUCCAACAGUUGUAUUUUAUCUUAAAAUCUCCACAUGAUCAACUUAGCUAUCAUGUUCGCAUAUUUAUACAAAUUCUUACUAUUUUACAUUAAAAUAGACGGGCACGGCAACGCGCGCCAUCAACGAUCUAGUGAUGACAUAUAUGGGCCCACGUGGAAAGAAACGCGAGAACAUGAUGACACAAAAUAAACAAGACAAGAGGACGCGCGACAAAAAAAUGGCGAGCUCACAUGGACGCGCAUGUUUUGGUUUGUACGAACAUUAAGGCAAACAAAUCGGACAGUUAUAGACAUAUAUGAGCUAAAAAUUCAUCUAGAUUGGAUUUAGCAAAUCUGAAACAAAAAAUCUAGCUACAUGAUCAAAACAAAAAAACAGAAGAGGGAAUAAAAAGCCACAUGGCCCUAGAAAAAACUAAGCCCACAGAGAAAAACCAAUACACAAAACAUAAUAACGGCCCACUAAAAAGAAUAUUAUAUCAGGCCUUCAUUGCUUCACGAGGGACAAAUAGAAAACACGACGCAACGAUAACGAGCACGACCCAGAAACAUGUGUAUCUAACAAUAUAUGAGUUAGAUGAAACAUUGUUAACUCUCAUUUAGAUGAGAAUUACCAAACCAAUCCAAAACGAGACCCCAGACCGCAUGGCGAAAACGGCCCAACAAAAGAAGCAUGCACAAACAUGUCGACAAGUAGACACCAAUCACACGACGCGACAUAUAGCGCGCGUGACAAAAAUAACCCGUGAUCAAGAUUUGCACGACAUUCAAAGCGAACAUAUGACAGAGCGAAAACAAGUUCAUGAAUUUUAAACAAAAAAGAAAGAAAGAAAGGAAAAAGGUAAAAGGGAGAAAAGGAGAAAAAAAAUUAAAAACAAAAAAACCACGAAUUUAAAACUAGUUCAUAAUUGAAAGCAAAUAAUGAAAUACAAAACAAAAAUAAAAUAAAAUAAAACGGAAACAAACAAAAAACAAAUACUAAGAGUCAAGUGAAAGUGUACAAAAAUGAGAAGAACUAGAAUUGACUCGUUGCACAUACUUUUGAAAA